UUUACAUCUGUCUCUGGCGAGGGAAUAUCGAGUCGCACAUGCAAUCUGACACGCUAUACCGACAGGUCGGUCCGGUCACUGAUUGACGUAUAUCCUACUGAUAAGUCGUCACCCCAUGAGAGACAUAUGUUAUCAUAAAUAUAUCU
ensembl:ncRNA C36F7.19 ncRNA